AUUAAAAUAGCUGAAAGAGCAGUUUGUGGCGGGCUGUAGAUUAAAAUAGCUGAAAGAGCAGUUUGUGGCGGGCUGUAGAUUAAAAUAGCUGAAAGCAGAGCAGUUUGUGGCAGGCUGUAGAUUAAAAUAGCUGAAAGAGCAGUUUGUGGCAGGCUGUAGAUUAAAAUAGCUGAAAGCAGAGCAGUUUGUGGCAGGCUGUAGAUUAAAAUAGCUGAAAGCAGAGCAGUUUGUGGCAGGCUGUAGAUUAAAAUAGCUGAAAGCAGAGCAGUUUGUGGCGGGCUGUAGAUUAAAAUAGCUGAAAGCAGAGCAGUUUGUGGCGGGCUGUAGAUUAAAAUAGCUGAAAGCAGAGCAGUUUGUGGCAGGCUGUAGAUUAAAAUAGCUGAAAGAGCAGUUUGUGGCAGGCUGUAGAUUAAAAUAGCUGAAAGCAGAGCAGUUUGUGGCAGGCUGUAGAUUAAAAUAGCUGAAAGCAGAGCAGUUUGUGGCGGGCUGUAGAUUAAAAUAGCUGAAAAAGCAGUUUGUGGCAGGCUGUAGAUCAAAAUAGCUGAAAGAGCAGUUGGUGGCGGGCUGUAGAUUAAAAUAGCUGAAAGCAGAGCAGUUUGUGGCAGGCUGUAGAUUAAAAUAGCUGAAAGAGCAGUUUGUGGCAGGCUGUAGAUCAAAAUAGCUGAAAGAGCAGUUUGUGGCGGGCUGUAACCUAGCGGUUAAAAGCUUUGGGCCAGUAACCGAAAGGUCGCUGGUUCAAAUCCUCGAGCAGACUAGGUGAUAUGUGGCCUUGAGCAAGGCAAAUAACCCUAAUUUCUCUGGAUAAGAGUGUCUGCUAAAUGACCCCCAAAAAAACAAAACAAAAAAAAAUGGUAGA
ensembl:lncRNA